rnacentral:rRNA from 1 species
GACGAACGCUGGCGGCGUGCCUAAUACAUGCCAGUCGAGCGGACGAAUCGAAAGCUUGCUUUUGAUUCGUUAGCGGCGGACGGGUGAGUAACACGUGGGCAACCUGCCCUGUAGACGGGGAUAACACCGAGAAAUCGGUGCUAAUACCGGAUAACACGAAAUGUCGCAUGACGUUUCGUUGAAAGACGGCGCAAGCUGUCGCUACAGGAUGGGCCCGCGGCGCAUUAGCUAGUUGGUGAGGUAACGGCUCACCAAGGCGACGAUGCGUAGCCGACCUGAGAGGGUGAUCGGCCACACUGGAACUGAGACACGGCCCAGACUCCUACGGGAGGCAGCAGUAAGGAAUCUUCCGCAAUGGACGAAAGUCUGACGAAGCAACGCCGCGUGAGCGAAGAAGGCCUUCGGGUCGUAAAGCUCUGUUGUUAGGGAAGAACAAGUAACGCAGUAACUGGCGUUACCGUGACGGUACCUAACGAGAAAGCCACGGCUAACUACGUG